rnacentral:rRNA from 1 species
CCCUUAGAUGUUCUGGGCAGCACGCGCGCUACAAUGGUCUUCGCAAACGGAUGCAUUCUCGAAGGAGAAUGCCAAUCUUGGAAUCUAUGCCUUGGUCGGGACAGUUGCUUGCAAUUUUUCGACUCGAACCAGGAAUUCCUUGUAAUCGUGAUUCAUCACAUCACGAUGAUUACGUCCCUGCCCUUUGUACACACCGCCCGUCGUUCCUACCGAUUGAACGAUCCGGUGAAAUCUCAGGACUGAGAUUGAUUAACGGUUCGCCGUUACCAGUUUCGGGAAUUUGCUUGAACCUUAUCGUUUAGAGGAAGGAGAAGUCGUAACA